UACGUAGGGGGCAAGCGUUGUCCGGAAUCAUUGGGCGUAAAGCGCGUGUAGGCGGCCAGAAAAGUCCGGUGUGAAAACUCGAGGCUCAACUUCGAGCUGUCGGUGGAAACUUUCUGGCUAGAGUCCGGAAGAGGAGAAUGGAAUUCCUGGUGUAGCGGUGAAAUGCGUAGAUAUCAAGAGGAACACCUGCGGCGAAGGCGGGUUGGUGGGCCGACACUGACGCUGAGGCGCGAAAGCCAGGGGAGCGAACGGG
rnacentral:rRNA from 1 species